rnacentral:rRNA from 1 species
GGUUAAGUUAAUAAGGGCGCACGGUGGAUGCCUUGGCACUAGGAGCCGACGAAGGACGUGACAAACGACGAUAUGCCUUGGGUAGCUGUAAGUAAGCGAUGAUCCAGGGAUUUCCGAAUGGGGGAACCCAACAGGUAAUACCUGUUACCUACAUCUGUUAAGGAUGUGAGGAGGAAGACGCAGUGAACUGAAACAUCUAAGUAGCUGCAGGAAGAGAAAGCAAAAGCGAUUGCCUUAGUAGCGGCGAGCGAAACGGCAGAAGGGCAAACCGAAGAGUUUACUCUUCGGGGUUGUAGGACUGCAAUGUGGACUCAAAGAUUAUAGAAGAAUGAUUUGGGAAGAUCAGCCAAAGAGAGUAAUAGCCUCGUAUUUAAAAUAGUCUUUGUACUUAGCAGUAUCCUGAGUACGGCGGGACACGUGAAAUCCCGUCGGAAUCUGGGAGGACCAUCUCCCAACCCUAAAUACUCCCUAGUGACCGAUAGUGAACCAGUACCGUGAGGGAA